CUGCUGGGGGCAGAUGAAGUGAAUGUGGGCAUCAAUGCCGCCGGCGGUGAGGAUCUUGCCCUCACCGGCGAUGAUUUCGGUGCCGGGGCCGAUCACGAUGGUCACGUCCGGCUGGGUGUCCGGGUUGCCGGCCUUGCCGAUGGCGGCGAUGCGGCCUUUCUGGAUGCCCACGUCGGCUUUGACGAUGCCCCACCAGUCGAGAAUCAAGGCGUUGGUGAUCACGGUGUCCAUCACGGCGGCAUCGGCACGCUGGCUCUGGCCCAUGCCGUCGCG
rnacentral:sRNA from 1 species